rnacentral:rRNA from 1 species
GACUCCGUGAAGCUGGAUUCGCUAGUAAUCGCGCAUCAGCCAUGGCGCGGUGAAUACGUUCCCGGGCCUUGUACACACCGCCCGUCCAAGCCAUGGGAGCCGGGGGUGGCUUGAAGUGCGUCGCCGCAAGGCGCGCCCUAGAGCAAAACCGGUGACUGGGGCUAAGUCGUAACAAGGUAAC